CAAACUGCCACAGAAGAAAAUAACACAUAUGAAAGGAUGAAGAAGGAAAUAGAACAGCACAUGCUGUAAAUUGAACAAAAUAAAUACAAGGAGCCGAGGCUGGAAUGUAAGUCCAAGUUAAUGAAGCAGCCUCAAAGUUGAGGAGGAAGAGAAUAAACUGCAGCUCUGAGGGCAUUGACUUCUGGGAAUAAACUGCUCUCAGCUGAAAAAUGAACCCUUAGCCCAUGUGUUCAUGGAAUGGAUUGAGUUCAUUGUGGUGCUGAUUUACUGUAACUAGAUGCAAGAUUGAUGCAUCCAGGAGAAACCAUUCCACGUAUCUCAUCUGUCUCUGGAACUGCCCCUUUAAUCUCUUUACUAGAUUUGAUUGUUCUCUAACAAACCAGCAGAUACCUCUAGAGCAGAUGUAUCUCUCAUUAUAAAUUUGCAAGUUAAAACCAAUGAGAAACAGGAGUGCCUGGCUGUAGAGAAAGUUCUUCUCCAUCCUACACCAUGUGAGUGAAGGCUGCAGAAGUUUGGGAAACUGGUGAGACUGCAGAGAUUUUUCUCAAGGAGAGUGAUACAAAGAUCAGAAGGAAAUUCUCAUCAGAAGAAAUUCUACCAGGAAAGAUCAAGAGUCCAUUUUUUCAGAGAUGCAAAGGCUAGGAAAACGCCAUUAACAGGAUUUGCUCCUGCUCUACUGUGGUUACAGCCCUGAGAGAGGACUGGACUUUCCGCUCUUACCAACUGAGCCAUAUCGGUGACAUUCAUCCUUCAGUCCUGUCUCUGAAUUGUCAACAUUUUUCUUUGGCUUUAGUGGUGACAUAAUGGGCUAAGCAGGACUCAAGCAGAGACUACAUUUCUAAGGGGGGCACCAGAAUAGGACUGCAACUGCUGUGAUCACUCACCAGCAAGCCAGGCCUGGACUACCCUUCUUGGCUAUGGGCUUUCUCUUGUCCCCCACUGCCCCAAUAUUCCCAGCUCUCCAUCCCUUGGAUAGAAGGAGUUGUCAGCCUCUGCCUUAGCCACACACAUCAGUCUCCUUUUGUCUCCUGCUCCUGCCUGUCAUGGUCCAAGGGUUCUGGGUACACAACUACAGUAUGUAAAUAGAUUAUACUUCCCGACACCUCCCAUAAUACAGUAUCAGCUCUAUGUUGUUUAUCAGUAAUUUCUGAUUGGAAAACAUGUAUCCAGUCAAAAUGUUUUUACUUAGUGUGUUUUGCCUUCUGAGAUACUUAAUCCUUGCUUUUAUUCCUGUUACAUUUCCACAGUUUUCUGACAUGUUUGUUUUCUUUUUCAGCGUGUGUGAAUUUUACGUAACAGAUUGCACUGGAGAACAAAACAUUUAUUUUUAAAUGUUUAUGGGAAUAAAAUAAUACUGCUAUUAUCUA